UGUCUGCCGUGGCAGUGGCUCGUGUGCUUGCAUGGAUUUAAUACUUAGUCAUUGGUGCAGGUGCCUCAAAAUAUCUCCUGCAGGUAAUAAGCAGGAUAAAAAUAAGGAGCAGAGUUUGCCAAGAACACAGGCAGCUCUAGGCAUGCUCUUGACUGUAUAAAUGAGUCAAGGAUUCAUAACACUUUUUGUCUAGCCCUCAGGCAAAAACCCAGCAAUGGGCACCUGCUCCCUGUUUACGCCUUUUACUGAGCCUUUGUCACCAGCCGGCCGGAUGGCUUUAGGCAAAUCCGACACCUGUCUGAAUCUGCUGCUUUGGUUUUCAUGGCAGAAGUCCUUCAGAGUCACUGAGGUUUUUUUUAAUUGGAAAACUGUCCAGCGCCAGUCUGUCUCUGAACUGCAGCUCUCCCCCAGACUCUACUGAUAUCACGUGGCGGGCAGUGCAGGGAUUCACGCGCCCUCAGGCUGACUCGUAAGGACACUGAACCAAGCACAAGCACCUUUCUGGUUGGUCAAUGCCAAAGACACAGCAAAGCCCCAGCCCCUGCCUCUUGCUGCUGAGAGCAGAGCCCCCACUCGAAGCUGGAAAGUGCCACCCGCCUCAGAAGGGCCCCACCAUAGUGACAGUUCUUCUGCCACCCGUGGCCCAGAAGGAGGCCGGGAACGACCGCUUACCUUGGCUUUCUGGAGGACGGUGCCUUUGCCUGUGACCAUGACCGACAGAGGCCUGUUCUUGAGCGCAGUUGCGGAGUUGACUGGGGUACAGUCCGGGGCAGGAGUCGAGGUGGCAGCUUUGGGCUGUGGUCACAGGAGAGAGGGAGGGCUGAGUUCAGGGCGGGGAGGGUGACCCAGUCCCCAAGCCCAGUCCAGGAGGCCCUGCAAGCAGCUCAGAGGAACGCGGCUCCCAGACUCACUCGGGGGCUCACGUUCUCCAGGUGGGUGGUGUCUACAGUUGUGCCCAGCGUCACGGGCCCGGCCUCGGCCUUCUUCAGGCUGUCCUUCACCUCCACAAUGCUGAGCUCCAGGUCCACGCGCCUGCGCUCCUCCACCCUGCACUCCUCAUCGAUCUCCUUCAGCUUCUCCUCCAGGCUGGCUGCCGCCCCCUUGUCUGCAGAGAGAAGCCAGUCGGCUGCAGGGAACAAACAGCCCUUCAGCCAGAAGCCCCACCAGGGGGAGGGCAGGAUUCGCACACGCUCUGCCAGAACAGGACCCCAAGUGGCCCCGGACCACAGGUCUGGCUCCAACACUCAGGGCUGGGAUGGGCCUCUGGGUGAUGGGCGGCCUCCCAGCCCAGGUCCUGUGUCCGCACUCCACAAAGGCUGGGGAGGCCCCAGAAGAAGAGCUCUGCCUUCACGAGAGGGCCUGAACCUGAGUCCUAAGUCCCUUCUGGUAGAGAGACUCUCAGUUGUUUCGAUACCUGCUAUUGUGACAGCGACCCCAAAGGGACAGAGGAGCUUUAUUAAUGACCCUUGGAGGAUGGCUGGGCCAUUGCAACCUGCCCCACACGGUUCCCUCCAUCCUUCUGGCACGUGUGCUGCUUCCCUGGGCCUAGUGGAGCAGUGGUCCUCAGCCCUGGCACCUUCUCAGCCCUGUUUUAUGCUUCCCUCUUCACCCUGGAGUUCUCAGGUUGGUCCUACAGCACCAAGAAAUGACGACUUAUGAAGAGUCAACCCUAGGAGCUCACUGCGCUAGAGGAAAGGAUGGACGUGUUCAAUAUAGAAUCCUGAGCAAGGGCGCCUGCUAAUGAGGAGUGAUGAAAGUGUUCUGAAAUUGACUGUGGUGACGGCUGCACAGCGCUGUGGAUAUACUGAAAACCACCUGUAAAUGGGUUAUCGAUAUGGUCUGUGAAUUCUCUCUCGAUAAAGAUGUAAUAUUAAAAAAAAAACAAAAACAAAAAAAACAGUGGGUCACUUUGUGCCCCCCAUGACCUUCCACCACCAAUCAUGUUAUAAGCUUCCCAGAGAGCCCGAACCUGUUAGUGUGAGUGUGCAGUUUAAAUAUUAAAUGAGCCCAGAGUUACUACUCUGAAAACGAAGUCAAAUGCUGCUGAAAGGUCUUGGGAGAAACAAGGUGCUAGGAAACGGCUGAAGAACCAUAUGAAGAUGACUUGGAAAAUAAUCUACAAGGAUUCAGAUUUCUUUAAAAUGAACACAAACUCAAGGUGCUUGUAAAAAAAAAUGACCAGAUGAGGCAUUAGAGAUGUGGUUACUGUGGAAACCAGGACCCAGGGCUCCCGUCAGCCAGCCCAGAUGGCAGGAAAAGACCUUGGCACUGCUUUAGAAGAUGGGCCAAAAAAUAUUCAUUUGUUUUAAGUGAGAAUCAAACACUUCCGGUCUAAACACAAUUUUUAGAGCAUUUCCUCCUUUAACCAGCUUUUCCAGCUACGUCCUGGUACAGGACAGUGGCCCUUCAGACGGGCUGGAGGGGGAGGACUUUGCAGGGAGCACCCACCUGUGCCAAAGGCUGACGGGGCUGCAGCCCAGGUGCAGAUGCGGAUUCUUCCCCCGGAAAGCCCAGGCCCCUCCACGGGCCCUGUCUGCUGAGGGGGGGCCCUUACCUGUACACUUCAACAGGGUCUCCUUCAACUCCCGUUUCUCCCUCCGGAGCUGAGCCAGGUGCCCCCGGAUUUCUUCCUUCUUCUUCUCAAGCCUCUCCUUCUCCUCUGUGUACCGCUUCACCUCGGCUUCUGUCCUGUUCUUGCCAAGUUUGAUCUCUACAGACCCAGAGAGGGGAACCCCCGGGUCAGCCAGGCUGGCCCCUGAGGGCUGUCCCACCCCACUCUGCAGGCUCAGACGGAACCCAGGGCUUUGGCAGUAGAUUAGAGCUGGAUGCCAGGCCAGCCUAGCACGGACAGAAAAGGAAAUGGGGCCCACCCUUUCUUUGCUGUGUGACGUUGGGCAAGUCCUUCACCUCUCUGAGCCUCUGUUUCCUCAUCUGAAAGGGAGGGAAUUGGGCUAACUUCUCCAAGCCCUUUCCAAAACCUUCAACUCUUAAUCUAGCACAGGCACCUGCAUUGGUUGCCUUCAACCUGUCUUUCACAGGUGGGCUGGCCCCGGCUGGGGUGAUGGGCACAGUGUCAGGGCAGCUCGGUGGGAAGGAGAUCUUCUGCUGUUCAGUCUGGAUUUUGACUGCCGUGAUUCCCAGGGAAGGCUCCUCAGGUUCCUGACUCUCCUGCUGCAUCUGCUUUGGGAGAAAGCAAACAGGACCCAGCUGGCCGAGACACCCCAGAAGGACUGCGGUCCUCAGGACCUGCGGCAAACAGCCGUGACCACGACCUCUGCCCUGGCCGUGCCUCCCCACUCCCACCCAGCCAGAGGGCCAGCGGUACCUCGAGCUUGGCCAGCUCCUCGCCGUCAUGGAGGAUGCGGAAGGAGUAGAGGUGGUCGGGGCUCGGGUCCGGCACCACCUCACAGCCCACCAGGCUGAGGGGCUGCUGGGCCGCCUUGCUGCGGUUCCGGUCCUGGUAGAAGUACAGGUGACUGUCCCUGACGGAGCACCAGCGCGACUUCCACUGGCUGUUCACCAGCACGUUCAGCCACAGGGGACAGCAGCGUGCUUCCCUGCUGAGUAACGGCCAGCAAGAACCCAGCCACAUCGCGCAAAGCGACUCACUGGGACCAGGCUCCCAGGCCCAACACCGUGCCCUCUGAGGCCACAGGGCCUGGCAGAGAUGGGCCAUCACCCGGCAACCUGGCCAGAGAAGCAGGAGACUCCAAAGGCAGGGCCCUGUCUGCUGCCUUCCUGUCGCUCCAGCCCACCCUGCCAGCCGCAAAACACAGAGCUGAACUGGGACUCAGGAAGAGAGCCCAGGGCUGGUACACGGGUUCCAUGAGGAGGAGGAAAAGGCCCAAAGAAGGAGAGUAGUGGCCUUCAGGCUCCGAGGCGUAAGUAUAGCAAUGAGCUUUGAGUUGGAAGCCAGGAUGUUUUCUGGGAAAGGUCUCGCUCUCUCUGUCUCUCUUUCCUGUCAUCAGUUUCCUCAAGGCCGAGUAAGGGCAGCAGAGAUGACCUGGAGGGCCUCCCAGCACCCACACAUUCCCUCUGUACCGGCGACAUGGGCUUUUGUCAUCCCCUUAACGGGUCUUACCAGUGCCCCCUCAGAGUCUUUGCUCCUGCCCGCGGGGGCCAUCCCAGCCCGUUUAGCUCCCGCCCGGCCUUGGCAGCUCAGGUCCAGGAAGCCAUCCAUCUCUGUCUACAGAGUAAGAACGGUUCUUUCUGUCCCCGAGUCCUUGUAGCUAGUAAGACGGCACAGUGUGCGGUUAUGGGUAUAAGGCCAUCAUCUCUGUUGAGCUGUAAGCUCUCAGGACUGUGUCCUCCGCCUGCUUGGGCCCCUUUCCCUAACACCGUGCCUACCGUGCUCCAUACACAUUGAUCGAAUGAACAUACAACUUUAAAGACUGUGAGGAGGACGGCCAUCAACUACCCUUCACUUCCGCACGCUGCAGCAAGAGGGUCUGGUGAGGCUUUAUAAAGGGCUGCCUGCAGCGAAGAUCAGCAGAAACUGUGGACUGUGGGCUCACCCGCUCAAGAGGUGCUAGAGCAAACCCCAAGUCCCCGCCCUGGCCGUCUGAGCCGCCUUGCUGGAGACGGGCUGCGGCCCGGCGGGGGAGCCCGCCCUCUGGCCCAGGAGGCGGCUACUGAAGCUUACUGGAUGUCUCGAGGGACCUUUCCGGAGGCUCCAGCGAGGUAGAUUUCUUCCUGCCCAGGUUCAUUAGGUUGCUCAGUUUGAGGCCAGCAGAACAUUUCUUCUUGACUGUCAAGAUGAGAGGAAAAACCUUCAGCCUUGCACACAGCCUACCGAUGUGCGCUCAUGGAUGACGGAAAAAUUAGCAGACCUGUCCCUGUCCUGUCUGCCCCUCCCUGUGCGCGCACAGGUCUGUGCCCCAGACUCGGAUCCACAGGGCAGUCAGGUGUCUCUAGAGGCACACCAACCUCUCCUACAGAACACGUCAGCACUGGAGAAUCCUUACAGACUGAAUGGGUUCAGAGAGAUCUGAACUAGGGUUAGCAAACGAGAUGAAAGAAUAUUCUACCCCCAGCAAUUCAUGGAACGUAACUUCAGUUUGGUCCUCUCUCCUUUUUUCCGCGAUCUAUCAGCUGUAUACUUCUAAGCAGUUUAGAAACUGGAGGCAUGCUGGAAUGAGCUGUUAAAAUUCGGUAGGGUUGAGCCAGACAGCCGAGCCUCAAAGCCCGGGAUACCACCCCUCCCAACCCUAGGCUGAGAGCCAGAGCGUUUGUACCGUCUUUGGUCUCUGGGACCUCAGGGUGGCCAUCUAUGGAGCUUCCAUAGUCCGAGGCUGACAGGUACUUCUCAGUUACAUCUGGCUGUGGAAGAGAGAGAGACAAGUGGGUGAUCUUGUCUGGGAAUGGUUACCUGGGAGACCACAAUUUAAGGGAAAAUAAUAGAUGACUCUUGGGUGUAGGCUAGGGGUCACCUUGGAGUCCAAGUCACUGGUGGGGCAUGGCCAGGCUUCCCUGGGGCUCCCUAAAGGACCUGCCUUUGCCUUCCCUUGUGAGGUUCCCCACCCCAUCCCAGAGCAUUGUUUCCUUCUUCAGGCCACCGCAUAUCCUUGAUCGUGAGUUCUCAAGAUGACUACUCCACUUGGUGUGACGGCGGCUCCGUAGCCAGUGGGCAGGGCAGGUAGCCAGCCCCAGGGUGCACGAGAGCAUCGCAACUGAAGCUGGGACCCACCCAUACCAGGACAUCUUUUGAGAGUUGACUGCACUACCAACGCGGCAGGCUUUGCAGAAGGGCUGGCUUGUCCUCACAGGGUCAGACCACGAUUCGAAUCCCACCUGGAGCAUUCUCUAGUGCGGCAGGGCCUCUCUGAGCCCCACCCUGCAUGUGUAUAAAAUAGGGAUAACACCCCUGUCUGCAUUCUCAGGGCUGUUGGGGGACUAGAGACAGUCCCUAGAGUAGACACUCAGAAGAUUCCCAUCAGGCUUCUUCUAGAACCACUGACUCCAGAACCCCUGGAAAACAAGCCCAGCGACUCCCAACCAACAAGGCCUUCGCUGAGGACCAAGGACUGCAGUACCUGGCCCGGGAAUCUUGUGUGCUGGGUCUUUAGGGAGAGGCCUUGUUUCUCACCCCAAUGUGAAGGAAUCUCCAGGUUUACUCUGACUUCGGUUUUCUUGUCAAUGACCAAGGAAUGAAUAAGAAUGAAAACAUCAGCCCCUCUUCCGUCACCCUAGAAGGCUGUGGGUUUUCCUCCAUGGGGGUGGCCCGUGCCUUCCAAAGGAGCAGAGAGCCUCCUCCCUGCUCAGGGCCUCUGUCCACCCUCUGCCUUCCUCCCUGCCGGGGGUGGGGACCCCAAGAUGAGCCACAGGGACCCUCUGUGCACAGCAGGGUUCCAGGCACCCACCUGGGGACAUGGAAUGUGACCCCGCAGUGACAGCCCUCCCCUCGGCCAGCACCCAGCCCAACUUUCUCAACUUUGACCCUAAAGCAGGGCUCCCACAGCUCCAUGCAAAUCAGCAGUAGGGCCCUUUGGUUGGGGUCCAACACCCAGACAGUUGCCUAAGUGGGAAGGAAGAGCCUCGAAAAAUCUCCCUGCCCAAGAACGGAGGCAAAGUGACUUUUGUCCCAAUAAACCUUCCCCCAAGCAAGAAAAUACUGUAGGCUUCUGUCAUUCUCAUCAGUUUCCCUGCCAAGCUGAAGCUAUUGCCCUUAGCCAAGCACUGCACGUUUCUUAUCAACUGGGCUGACGUGCGAGAGCAAAGCUCCCCAUCUUAACACCUUGAAUUUUAUGGAGACAAAAAUGGAAUUGAACGCUCUUUCAGGCAGGGUAGAGGCUUACUUUUGGACAACUCGGGCGCUGGGCAUCUGGGGUGUACUGGCUUCCCUCACAAGCUCCUUCAGAAGGCAGGCCACUCACCUCCUGGAUGACCUGAAGGAAGAGGAAGACCCUUCAGGCCUGCAGCCACGGCCAGACCAAAGCCAGAGCCCCCCUAGCCACGUGUGGCCUCGGGACCCAGCCAGGGAGGGGGCGUGUUCCCGAGGCCUGUCUCCCGCAGGCCCCCAGGUGUUUGGUGGCGUGCCAGGGAAGCGGGGCGGGGAGGCAGGCAGCAGGGUUGGCAGCAAAGCCCAAACAGGGUGAGGGCAGCCAGAUCUCAGCUGCUCUCACCCCAUCCUGGGCAGGGGUGGCUGUUCACGGCGGGGGUGAACACCCACAUUUGCCAGAUGGCUCGCUGGCUCCUGGGGGCCGUGGGGCUCGCUGUGGAGGGUCUGCGUGCCGCCUGGGACUCAGGCCUGGACGCUGCCUUGGUCCAGGCCAGGCUCCCAGACAUGCCUGUCAGAGUCCACCCCAGCUCCCCCGGGAAGGAGCCUUUGAACCGGCUGGCGAUGCCGCACUGGAGACCAGAAGGCAAGUGGAUUUCAGCUAGAGCCCAAGUCCAGGUGGCAGAGACCUAGCCCUGCGACCCAUUUCCCUAAGGCGGCUCGCUACCACCGACGACGCAGGAAGCCCUGCGCACUUGAAGGAUCAUAGACACUUCACCCCCGACCACAGCCAUCCCUUUGAAAAGGCUGGGGAGCCCCAGAGCGGAGCAGGCCCACCUCCCCCGCACCUGGCGCCUCCCUCACCCUGAGCCACUGCUCGGCCUGGUCCUUGCUCUGCAGGCCCAGCACGAUCACGUCGGCGCUCACGGGGCUGAUCUUCAGCUUGUGCUCCUUCUUCCGCACCUGCUUCUCCUUGUGCACCACACUGCUGCCCAGCAAGUUCACGUCCAGCUGAGGACUGUGGUCCUUGGAGGACUUGUAACACUGGAAGAGGGGAGAGGCGAGACGCUGCUUGGCCAGGUUCUGCAGAGGAGGGGCCCCUGGGCAGGGCAGGACCCGCUGAGGGGUGGGCUCUGCACGACAAACCCAACGGCCGGACACCCCUGUGCAAGUGCGGAGCUGUCACCUCCAACACUGGCAACGCGUGUUCUCGGCGUCAGUGACCAGGCAGCUGCCUCUGUCUCCCUCAAGCCUCUUCUUCCCCAGCCCUGCUCAUCCAAGCUGCUCUAAUCGCACUGCAGACCACGCCGGCUCCUAAAAUUUGUCCUCUGCAGGCAACUCCCACCUCUCCAGGGUGGAAGGCACUUUUCCCAGUUCUCUGUCUCUCUGCUUCUGUUCCUUCCUCGGCUUCCCCAGUAAGGGGUCCAGAGGGGAUGAAGGCCAAGUUUAUCAUCCGAUUCGUUAGGAGACGAUGUGUUAGCAGAGAAAGGAAGCGACUCUCCUCCCUACCAGAGAAAAUGCGUUACCCCUCUGUUUCUCACUUGUAAGGUGGAGGUGCUUUACGGGGCUGCUUAACAGGAUUACCUGGAAAACACCUGCGCGCAGCAGGGCGGGUUGUAACCAGUGAAGAAGGGUGUUUAUAAUGACUCCAUGGAACUUCACACUGGGACAUAAAACCAAAUUUUAAUUUAAAGUAACAAGAAACGGGGCUGUGGUCAGAGUACUAUCUCCUGAUUCCCUUAUGGGUCUCCUCUUAUAAUCAGUCACCUGCCUGGGCAGCAGGCUCCGCCCCAAAAGGACUGUAAAGAAGAAGUAGCCCACAGACCAGGGGACAAAAAGAUCCCCGGAAAAAAUAUCUGUGGGAUGGGAUCGGUGGGGAGGGGAGGGGGCAGUCGUCACAGACCCCUUUGAAAGCCUGCUGAAAGUACUAGUCCUUCCUACUUAAGGGAAAGCACGUUCAUCCUCGCACACGAAGCUCUGCUGGGGAGAAGCAGAAACCCCCUGACGCGACAGGCUCUAAGCACCUGGCAUCAGGGACCACCCGCACCUCCACUCCGGGGAGAGGACACUCACCAGGAGCCUGGUGUCCUUGAUCACGCAGAGCUGCUUGGCCCACUGGCCCAGCCACUUCUUGCGCCACAGGAAAGCACAGAUGCGGGCGUCGCGCAUCAGCUCGAUGCUGGCCUCGGGCGAGGGCCACUGGUAGGGGGCCGACUUGCCCUUGCUGCUUUCGUCCUCGUCGUAGGACUCGUAGGAACUGCUCACGGCCUCUCCGUCCUCUGCAAGGAAGAGCCCUCCGUCACAGUUCCAGCGGGCAGGGGAUGUUCCGAAACAGGCUUUGCUCCUUCGGGAGGGAGGGGAGCAGGCAGGGGCAGCCAGUGGUCCCCAGGCCACCCCGCCCCCUCCGUGCCCUUGGACCAGCCCACAGUCACCAACCACACACCCAGGCGGACUUUCCGGCCCCCAAACCCCUGAGCAAAGCGCCUUGGAUGCUGCCUCCGGCCGCAGACGCAGGUGACAUAAAACCAGGAGUCUCCCUCUUCCUCCUCAAAUCCUGUCGCCUCAGACCCUGUGGAAACCUCUGACCAGACGCGGCCCUCACACGCCUGCUCUUGAGAGGUCCAGUGCCCCUGCUGGGGGCCUCCAUUUCCUCCGCUGAAGGAUGAGAUCGCUUCUGAGGGUCCAGGAGGAGAGGGUCGCCGUCUGAGCCCAGAGCUGGGCGAGCCUCCAGCAGCGGCCCACUGGGCCUGCCCUGUCCCUGGUUCUGUCCUGGGAGCAGCAGGAGCUGGCCCUCCGGGGAAGGCGGCCACCCUCGCACUCCUGAAGGCUCUCCUCACAAUCUGCAGCCCUGCUGGAAAAUCAGCUUAUCUUCCACAGGCUCCGUUCUCUUUCCCUCCCCACAAAGCACCUCCCGUCACGAGCUUAGCAUCUUCUGCCCAUCCCCACCUGCUACCCUUCCUUUCUAGCAAUGAGCCACCCUCACGUUUUUAUUCUGUUUAAAAGAAUCCCAAAACGCACCAAAUUGCACCCGAUCCUGUGCCCGCUCUGCAUGCCUCGGUUUCCGCCUCCACCACCCUGCAAGAAUUUCUCUGUUCCCCAGGCCUCACUGCGCUAUUCAAGGCCAACAAAAACUAGGUGCAGAAAAAAAUCAGUCAAUCAAACCCCGAAAUGCAGGACACGGAGAAAGGAGAACCUCAGGAUCCAGGUCCAACCCCUGGCUCAGCACCGGAAUCCUGUCUGUCGUAACCCUGCCCCAGCCUCUGCUUGAAUCCCCCCGUGGACGGGGAGCUCAUACCGCCCGACUGCUGGACAAUUCCUUCUAUUACUGGGCAGCUCUAACAGUUAGAAAGUCACAUCUACUUCCCUGUGACUUCUACAGACACGUUCUGUCCCCUUGAGUCAGAGUGAAUGGAACCUCUCUUUCUUCUCCACAUUACCCAUCAGAAAAGAGACAGCCCAUGGGUCCCCCAUCUUCUCUUCUCCAGAAGCCUCUUAAACUACCUGCAUAGCUAGGUUCCUGCAAUACUAAGAAAACAGAAGCGCAUUUGAAUUAGAAUGAGGCCACGGCCACAGUUACUCUGGCUACAAUGCCAGUGAAAAUGUGUUUUAUUUUGCUUUAAUAUUUUUAAAAAUAAUACCUUGACUAUUUUAAUAUCAGUCUUCUUGAAAAGCAGUGUGAUACUACUCCCCUUCCUGGCUUAAUAAAAAAGUUGCAUAGUUCACAAUUUUAUACCUAUUAAAUAAACAAAGACUGAAAAUAGUGGUGCUACCCAGUAGGGGACCCUGAACUCUCUCGUAUGGCUGGUGGCAAUAUAAAUGAACGCCAGCCUCUCAGGAAACAACCUGUCAGCCUGCUGUUUCGAGCGCCAUAAGAACAUUCACACCCUUCGACCCAAUAAUCCCAGUCCUGGGAGUUGAUCCUAAGAAACUAGUUUUUAAAAAAGGAAGGAAGUGGGGAAGGUUACAUGCAUUAAGAUAUUUCUUCAAGUACUGUUGAACAGUCAGCAGAAGGAGACUCAGGAAAGUCUGAUUUCAUCCAGCGUACCGUGCACCCGUAAUCAGUGAAAGCUCUGAAGACUAGUCUGCAACUUGAGAAUCUCCUUAAGAUAAGAUGGUAAGUGAGAAAGCACAAUUAAAAUUAUCUAUACAAAGAGAACAGUACUGAAAGGCUCAGAGAGAACUCAAAAUAGUUGGUUUGAUCUGGUGGUAGGAUCAGGGUGAUUCUGUAAAAAAUGUACCCCUUGUCAGCACUGCACAAUAAAUGAAAUAAGAAUGAUGUAGUCACUGGGAUAGCUCUUUCAGUGAUAAAGGUUAAUAAGCGAGGCUACAGAGAUUAGUGUGAAGAAGCUGGCCGAAUCCCGCCCCCCUCCUCCCCGCCCCCGGCUGUUCUGUGCUUCUGGGGUUGCCCCACAUGUUCCAUGGAGAAUUCUAACAUCCGCCCCUCUGCCUCCAAGGGCGAUGGGGAACAGCUUGGAGGAAAUCUAGGGCAAAUGUAUUGACCAUUUUAUUUAUCUCUAAGAGUGAUCACGGGGCUUCCCUGGUGGCGCAGUGGUUGGGAGUCCGCCUGCCGAUGCAGGGGACAGGGUUCGUGCCCCGGUCCGGGAAGAUCCCACAUGCCGCGGAGCGGCUGCGCCCGUGAGCCAUGGCCGCUGAGCCUGCGCGUCCGGAGCCUGUGCUCUGCAACGGGAGAGGCCACAACAGUGAGAGGCCCGCGUACCGCAAAAAAAAAAGAGUGAUCACGGCCCAACCAUAAAUGUAGGGUAUUCUUAAACAGGUACUUGGCUUCUAGAGGUUGCAGGAUGAACAGGAGUGAAAGGCAGGAUGCUCAGAUAAUUCCAAACCCCUUUUUGCUGUCCCCAGGUGGAGACUGCACCCACUGUGUCCUGUGGCAUGUCCUCGGGAACAGAGAGCAGGACAGCCAUGCCACGCUCUGCAUCCUCUAGCCAUCUGUUUGGAGGCUACAGGCAGGGGUCUGCAGAGGGACAGCACACGGCGUGCGCGUGCAGAACCCAUGCAAGAGGACGGGAAGAGGGCGGCAGCCACCCUCGGGGCAUGCACCCCGCCUCAGAGAGGGCCAGGCAGCAGAUGGGAUCACCGGCAUUCCCGCUCUGGGACAAGCAGUACCCAAGGUGAUUGUGGCGUAAACGACUCCUUCAGGUACCUGUACCCACCUGGGGACUCCACUGGGGGGAAAUCUGCCAGAAUGAUCUGUGUGGGAUCCAGAAGGACAGACAAAGGCAAGAGGAAGAGAGAGAAGAUGAAGAGAGCGGCAGACCCAGAUGUAGAGACACAAAGAGAUGUGGCGACGCGGCUGCCCUCCCACCAGAAGUUAGUGCAUUCCCAUUGGAGAUGUGGGCUUGUCAGGUGUACCCCAGCCUGGCCAAGGACAUCAUUUCCCAGCCCCUUCCCAUCCAGAGAUGUGACUUCCUGCUGCCAAUGGAAUGUGGAUAGAAGCACUGGGUGUCACUCUGCCUGGUGCCUUUAAGGAGCACAUAGAGGUUCUCCACCCUUUCUUUGUGGUGGAUUCUGUGGCCUCAGAAGGUGACCGAGCUCACGCUGGAUGCAGCCUGCUGACCAGUAACGCCCAGCUGAACUAUUCCGUGAGUGAGAAUCAGAUCUGCAUUGGGUUACUCUAAGCUGCAAGAGGGCUUGUUUGUUACAGCAGCUGCCGUUACUGAUGUCUACCGUCUCUAGCAGGAGACACCAGCAAUGCAGGAGCUCUACCUAAUAGCUCCUGCACAGGCCGGCAGGGCACUUACUAAACUUGUUCAGAGAGAGGACCUGACCCAGGGAAGCAGUGAGUGGACUGCUGAUAAAGCAGGCCAAGAGGCCAAGCAACUGGUCUUUUUCAGGAAGUCAGCAAAAUCGCUGUUGGACAAAGAAGUAGAGGAGCAAGGGGCGGAAGUCCAAUGGUCAUUUCUGCUGUUGUGACCUGUGCGUCCCACUGGUCAAACAGGUGUGGGGGACAGCAGGCAGGAACCAAGGGCAGGCCAGCUUAUGAUGCAGGGGAGGCCCCCUCUUCGUGUUCUGGAUAAAACCAAUAUGAACUCCCAGUCGAGAGACAAACACCGGGAUCCUUCUGACUGCUUGUUUGUGUCGAGAUGAAGUGUCUGCCCCACCAACAGGCCCCCGGGAGCGUCUGGGAGGCAGGCCCCGGCUGGCACAGGCCACACCCGAGAGAGAUGGGCUUCAGACACAUGGAGGUGCUCCCCGGGGUGAGUCACUGCUCCCACCUUCCAGACGCACCCAGACAGCCCCACCGCGCUCUCAGCUCCAGUCUGAAAUCACAGUCCGGCCGCUGACUUGGCAACACCUCGCAAGCUAAGUGAUGUCUGUCCACAAAACCAGACUCUUAGGAUAAAAUUCCUUUGGGCCAAAGAAGCCCUCACCUCCCACACAGUUCCCGGGACCGCAGACAGUAGGUAAAGUGUGAAGAAAGAGGACAAGAAUCCCAUGUGGCUCCAGGUGACUGGUCCCAUCUCAUCCCAGGGCCAGUUCUUUGUGACACCAACAAGGUCCCCCCGUCGGCCAAGUUCAUUCCCACCACCAGGGAUCCUUACUGCUGACAUCUGCAAGUUGCUUUAUGCUUUCAAAGACCUUUCACUUACAAAGGAAGGAAAGAGAAGGAGGUGAGAAAGGCAGAGUGAGGGGACCAGAGUCCAGCUACCUGGGAGAAUGGGGUCACAACCAUCUUUCUUCCAGAACCUUCAAGGCCUUUCUGUGUUAUAGAAUCCCCACAACGAGAGCAUUUCUAUUUCUGAUCCAACCUCAUCAGGCUGAGAACCACUGGCCGAGGACAGAUGAGCCCUGCCCCCAUAGCAAAGGGCCUCACAGACAGAUGAGCCCUGCCCCCAUAGCAAAGCCCAUCUACCUAAGUUAGGUCAGCUACAAACAACCCUCCCCUCCAAAGGCUGGAGAAAAGUCUAUUCAGAGAAAAGCCGAAGUCGUUACCAAGGCCUACAGCUGCUUCUGUGUCCCCAUCUCCCAUCUCCCUCCCCCAACCCCACCUGCUCCUGCCACAAUGGCCUCCAAACAUGCCAAGGGCUCUCCUGCCUCAGGGCCUUUGCACAUACUGUGCUGUUUAGAAAGUUCUUCCUGCAGGUAUCAGCUCCACCCAGUUCCCACUUCAUUUGGGAAUCUGCUCAAGGUCAUGCUAUCAGAGAGGCCCUCCCUAAUCUAAAAUAAAAUCCCUCUCCUGCCCCAACCCAGCCCCUGCAGCUUUCCAUCCUGACAAGUUAUCACCACCUGACACAUCCUAUGUUUAUUUGCUGUCUGUCUUCUUCCCUCUCAGAAUCUAAGUGCCGUGACCACUGAACCCCACUGAAUCCUGCGUGCUGCUGAGCUCCUGAUUCCUAGAAGCAUGCUGGGUACAUGGUGGGAGCCCAGUGACUAUUAGUCCAGCGAAAGAACCUGGAAACUGGGCUCUGGCUCAGCCUGACCACAUUUCCAUUGCUUACGGGGCCUUGUGCCUCUCGGCCAACACACCUCUUCUUUGUCACAUUUCUGUGCUGAAUCCAGCAACAUCCAGGCAGGACCACAGAAGGCAUCAGACACAGUAAACCAGCUCCUUGUGGACCACCCCAAGCCCCUCCUUGUGGGUGGGUUGGGUCUGCUGUAGGUCUCAGCUCCCCAGCAGACCAGAGGCCAAACGCUCUGUGGCCAGUUCUCAAUUCGGGCCACGCUCUCUAGUAAGAGCCACCCAGGCUGCCCUGUGUUUCUAGCCAGGGUAAGUGUGCCGGUCACCACCAGGGGAGUUGGCACUGGCCUCCGUGCAGGAAGUGACUGGACCCCCUCCAAGCCCCGUCCCCAGGAUGUACCAUUGAGGGAUGUGUCAUAUGGUUCGGCCUCUUCAUAGUAACCCUCUGGAGACUCGAUCUUUGGGGUGGAGAGCUGUUUCCGUUCUGGAAUCUGUGGUAUGAACAAAUAAAACAAACAUUUUCAGAUACGAUACACUGGGAACAACUUGGAAUUAACCCUUUGGGUGGAAGGAGAGGGAACCAGAAGAAAAAAAUGCCCAGCUUGGACGUCAAGCAAGUCGAGAGGGAGAACGGGGAUUAUCGUGACUCCCAUCAGCCACCCCAUCCACAGUGUUUGGUUUGCAUCCAGCUGGAGGGCUGUGGGUGCGUUGCUUAACCUCACCAAGCCUCAGCAUUCCCCCCGCCUCCUGCAGAAUGAGGCUCCGAUGCCCACCACACACACAAUACCAUUGUACACAUCAUGACAUAACACACUUGAAAGGCCAGAUGGAGUCAGGCUGUCAUGGUAGCUAUGAUGGCUUCUGCAUAGAAUACACUUUCUACAAAGGGCUGAUCGGGGUACACAGAGGAAGAGGACCUGGCUUCUAACUCCCAAACUUCUCCCAUAACAAGUUCAAUCAUUUGCUCAGCAGAUACUGGAUGGCUCCCACGGACUAGCUGAGGGACACAUCCAGACGGUCAGGAGUCAGUCCUGAGAAAGUCUUAACUAGGUGCUCACAGCUCCUUAUCAAGUGCUUUAAUAGACAAGGUCAGAGCUCCAUGGGAGCGUGGAGGGUGUGAUGAACAUUUAGGACCAAGGAAGGAUGCUCAGAGGACAGGACCACCCAGCAUUUCUUACAUGGCAUGAGGGUGAAUGAGCAUAAUUUGAGUAGAAUAAAAAACAUAUGCAGGGCUUCCCUGGUGGCGCAGUGGUUGAGAGUCUGCCUGCCGAUGCAGGGGACACGGGUUCAUGCCCCGGUCUGGGAAGAUCCCACAUGCCGCGGAGCGGCUGGGCCCGUGAGCCAUGGCCGCUGAGCCUGCACGUCCGGAGCCUGUGCUCCGCAACGCGAGAGGCCACAACAGUGAGAGGCCCGCGUACCGCAAAAAACAAAAACAUAUGCAACUGUGGAGAAGAACAGAGCAUGAACAUCGUUCUCUCUUCCAUUAUUCCAUCUGUAAGAUGGGCACUAGACUACGAAGGUAAUCUCAUAAGCAAUAGCAGAGGAAAAAGAGAGAUAGAUGGUGGCAUGAAUAUUACUAUAUAUAGGUCAUGAACGUGUAAGUGUCCAUCCACACAAAUCCCUGAAGAGGGUCAAGGGAAUAUUCGUGAUGAGAACAGAAAUGGCAAAAGCUGAAGUGCAUUCCCAGUCCUGGUUUUGAGAAGUCCUUGUGCUGCGUGUUCCACACGAGGGGCAGGCCUGGACCUUCGGGGGGUGCCAAGUGAAGACAGAGGACGGCUCUUAAGGUAAAGGGGGUGCAGGGAGAUCGUAGGAGAGACGGGGCCCUGACCUCGGACGGACCCCUGGGCUGCUGGGGAUUCCUUGCCCCACCAGGAACAGGGGCAGGAGGUGGGGAAAUCUAGAAACCUUUGCCAUGGAAAAUGAGCUUCUUUGGGGGACCUAUGACAGAGAGAGCUUCCCUAGGCCUGGCCCAGGCGAUGGUGGGAGAACAGGCAGCGUGGGCUCACGUCCCCCGUGGGACAGUACUCAGCAGGGACCACAAGGGCGUCGGUUCCCAGCUUCCCCCGGGGGCAGAGUAAUGCUCCUGCAGCUGCUGCACAAAACCAGGCUCCCCAGAGCCAAGUCUUCUGUGGCUUGGCGACUAGAUCUAUUUCUAUGAUCUCUAGAGUGAAUGUAACUAGGUUCGAAUCCAGCCUUUAGGAGUCCAUAGAUUUAACCAUGGGUAUGUGACAGCCUCUCUGGGUCUCACUUUCCCUCUUCAUAAAACAGGAAUGGUACUGGAGUUGUCGAGGAUUCAAGGAGACAAAACGUGAUGGUGCUUCCACAGGGCCUGGUGCGUAUCCAGUACGAGGAGGCUGUUGUCAUCGUUGUCUGGGGGCCUCCACGACCCAGGCGCCCUACAGGAGCCAGGUUACUGGAUUGCUGUCCGGCAAGCUGAGACAGGUCCACAUGAGGAGGGUCAGCAGAGGCCAGGCCACCACCUGGCUCCCAUACCACGUCCUUCGAACUCCAUCUGGCCCGACACCGAGAGAGCUGACCCAAGUCCCAGAGGCAGGCUCUGAGCAGCCUGCAGCCCCAGCAGGUGCGACACACAGCACGCAGGAAGGAACAGAAUAAUCUGCUCAUUUCCUAAGCAGCCCAGCUGCGCUCCGGGCCGGCUGCGGAAGGGCGACGGCUGCGAGCAGUACCUCCGGCCGGGCUCCUCGCCGGGGCGAGGGCCUCGCACAUGGUGGACACAUCUGGUAGCUGCUAGUGGAUGACCCUUCGCCUCUGCUGCCCCUGGCCUGGAGAGACGUUUCUGCUCCUCUCGGCCACUCCUGGCCCCUCGGUCAGCCAGAGGAAGUGCUGCCUCUGAGAGCCUGCUUCCUGGGGUCUGAGGGGAAAAUGUCUCCUUACCUGGGCCCCGACAAGGUCUCUGCUUUUGGGUCCUGGGGCUCAGGCUUCCUGCGUGGGCUGGGCCUCCAGCUGCAGCCUCCAAGAAGCCCCACUCCCCAUACGGGGUGUGGGAACCCUUGUCUUGGUGAGGGCGUGGGGAUCCCAUCCGGAGGGAAGCUCUGAGCACCCAAGGUCUGGCUCUGGUCUGGAUUCCCAUGAUUAGAACAGGACAGAAGGGGAUUGAACCCUCCUGUGGGAACUCCUGCUGGGUCAUUAUCCCCACAGGGGGCCUGCCCUCCCAUCUAGGAGUUGAGCACCAGGGGGUGUUUCUUGAGAGUCUCCCAAGCCUCUCACUGUGAAAUCAUCUGUAAAUGGAUCUAUACAGAGAGGCAGAUAGGGCAGUGGGGCAGGAAUCUGACCUUCGGGGCUGGGUUCGAAUCCUGACACUGGCACAUCGAGCUGUGUGACUCUGGACAACUGACUUGACCUCUCUGGGCCUCAGUUCCUUUGCUAUAAAAUGGGGAGAGUAGAAGUACCUGUCACAUGGGGUCACUGUAAGGAUUAAACUGUGCUCAGCACUAUUAAAUAAUAAAUAUUAGUGUUCACUAACCUUCAAAAUAAGAUAUAAAAAUAUCAAUCAAAGGGAGAAAAGGUGCCUGUAGGCAUGUUUGGUGGGGGAAGAACAGGUGUACUCUGGGAGGAUACAGAGGAAGUAUUUGGGCAUGACCUGGCUUAUAGCAAGCUCAACUGCCUUAAAGAACAGGACAGCCCCUGUCCUCAAGGCGGCCAGGGCAAAAGAUACGGGCCUGGGUCACGUUAAAGGACAAAACGAUUCCAACAAUUCAGAAGAGAGUCACAUAAUUACACAGGCGCGAUGGCCUAUUAUCAGAGGAGCAAGAGAUCCUAAACUCCCGGAAUUAAGAAUGAAGGAAAGUUACUUUAUCAUCAUGAUGAUGAAGAUGGUGCACAUUCAACGAAGAAGCAGAAGAUGUGUGACUUCGGAACCUGAAAUAACUGAGGGUUCACAGGAAGGGACAGGGAAGAAAGCCACCCUGCUCAGCGUGACUUGCCAGAGAUUGGCAAACUUUACCUGUAGAGAGCCAAACAGUCAAUACUUAGGGAUUUGCAGGCCAUUCAGCGGCUCCGACCUCAACUCUUCUACCCUGCUACUGUAGUGCAAAAGCACCCAUAAAUAUACACAAAUGAAUAAGCGUGGCUGAAUUCCAGCAAAAUGUUAUUU